UACGUAGGGGGCGAGCGUUGUCCGGAUUUAUUGGGCGUAAAGCGCUCGCAGGUGGUCCGAUGCGUCGUGCGUGAAAGACCCCGGCUCAACUGGGGGGCGUCGUGCGAUACGGUCGGACUGGAGGCCAGUAGGGGGAUGCGGAAUUCCGGGUGUAGUGGUGGAAUGCGUAGAGAUCGGGAAGAACACCCGUGGCGAAGGCGGCCAGCUGGGAUACACCUGACGCUGAGGCACGAAGGCGUGGGGAGCGAACGGG
rnacentral:rRNA from 1 species